GGCGGCGGACGGGUGAGUAACGCGGGGGUAACCUGCCUCAGACACGUGGAUGACAUACCGGAAGGUAUGCUAAUACGAGAUAAUAUGCUUUUAUCGCAUGGUAGAAGUAUCAAAGCUCCGGCGGUACAGGAUGGACCCGCGUCUGAUUAGCUAGUUGGUAAGGUAACGGCUUACCAAGGCGACGAUCAGUAGCCGACCUGAGAGGGUGAUCGGCCACAUUGGAACUGAGACACGGUCCAAACUCCUACGGGAGGCAGCAGUGGGGAAUAUUGCACAAUGGGCGAAAGCCUGAUGCAGCAACGCCGCGUGAGCGAUGAAGGCCUUCGGGUCGUAAAGCUCUGUCCUCAAGGAAGAUAAUGACGGUACUUGAGGAGGAAGCCCCGGCUAACUACGUGCCAGCAGCCGCGGUAAUACGUAGGGGGCUAGCGUUAUCCGGAAUUACUGGGCGUAAAGGGUGUGUAGGUGGUUUCUUAAGUCAGAGGUGAAAGGCUACGGCUCAACCGUAGUAAGCCUUUGAAACUGGGAAACUUGAGUGCAGGAGAGGAGAGUGGAAUUCCUAGUGUAGCGGUGAAAUGCGUAGAUAUUAGGAGGAACACCAGUUGCGAAGGCGGCUCUCUGGACUGUAACUGACACUGAGGCACGAAAGCGUGGGGAGCAAACAGGAUUAGAUACCCUGGUAGUCCACGCCGCAAACGAUGAGUACUAGGUGU
rnacentral:rRNA from 1 species